rnacentral:rRNA from 1 species
UCAGACGAUGCGUCAUGCAUAUCAAUAAGCGGAGGAAAAGAAACUAACUAGGAUUCCCUCAGUAACGGCGAGUGAAGCGGGAAGAGCUCAAAUUUGAAAUCUUCAAGGGUUCUACCUUUACGAAUUGUAGUUUAAAGAAGUGUUUUCUGUUAGAGUUUUCGGUAAAAGUUCUUUGGAAUAGGACAUCAUAGAGGGUGAGAAUCCCGUAUUUGACCGUUAUUUCUAGCUUUGUGAUACACUUUCAAAGAGUCGGAUUGUUUGGGAAUGCAGUCCAAAAUGGGUGGCUAAAUUUCAUCUAAAGCUAAAUAUUGGCGAGAGACCGAUAGCGAACAAGUACCGUGAGGGAAAGAUGAAAAGAACUUUGAAAAGAGAGUUAAACAGUACGUGAAAUUGUCAAAAGGGAAGCGUUUGACACCAGUGUUGUUUUCUCGAAAAUCAAUUAAAAAAGGCAGGAUUUUGUGUUGUAUUGACUUUAUCAGCUUUCUGCACUCUUUUCUUGUCUUUUUUUAAUGCACUUUUCGUUUAACAAGUCAACAUCAAUUUCUUUUGUUGUAAAAGGGUCAUUGGAAGGUGGCUUUCUUUUCGGAGAAAGUGUUUAUAGCCUUUGGCCUCUGCAAUCGGAGAGAUUGAGGUCUGCAGCGUAGAUCCUUCGGGGUUAGAUACAUUUGUGCUAAGUUAUAGCCUUUCAUAGACAACUUGUUGACUAUGAUCAGUCAUGUAGCUUACUCGCUUAUGCUAUUUUACCUACGCUUAGGAUGUUGAUCUACAGAGCGAGAGU